GCCGGGCGCGGUGGCUCACGCCUGUAAUCCUAGCACUCUGGGAGGCCAAGGUGGGUGGAUCACCUGAGGUCAGGAGGUCAAGACCAGCCUGGCCAACAUGGUGAAACCCCGUCUUUU
ensembl:misc_RNA Metazoa_SRP Metazoan signal recognition particle RNA